rnacentral:rRNA from 1 species
GAUGAACGCUGGCGGCGUGCCUAACACAUGCAAGUCGAGCGAGAAGUAAAGAAAUGAAGCUUCGGUAGAUUUUCAUUAUGGAAAGCGGCGGACGGGUGAGUAACGCGUAGGCAACCUGCCCUGUACAGGGGGAUAGCCACCCGAAAAGGUGAUUAAUACCCCAUGAUGCAAGAGAUACACAUGUAUCACUUGUCAAAGAUUUAUCGGUAUGGGAUGGGCCUGCGUCUGAUUAGCUAGUUGGUAGGGUAACGGCUUACCAAGGCAACGAUCAGUAGCCGACCUGAGAGGGUGAUCGGCCACAUUGGAACUGAGACACGGUCCAAACUCCUACGGGAGGCAGCAGUGGGGAAUAUUGCACAAUGGGGGAAACCCUGAUGCAGCAACGCCGCGUGAAGGAAGAAGGCCUUCGGGUUGUAAACUUCUGUCCUAGGGGAAGAAACAAAUGACAUACCCU